UAGGGAAUAUUGGUUAAUGUGCGAAAGCGCGAACCAGCAACGCCGCGUGUGCGAUGAAGGCCUUCGGGUCGUAAAGCACUUUUUGCAGGGAAGAGGAAGGACGGUACCUGCAGAAUAAGUCUCGGCUAACUACGUGCCAGCAGCCGCGGUAAAACGUAGGAGACGAGCGUUAUCCGGAUUUACUGGGCGUAAAGCGCGUGCAGGCGGCAUGGCAAGUUGGAUGUGAAAGCUCCCGGCUCAACUGGGAGAGGUCGUUCAAUACUGCCAGGCGUGGGAGGGGGAGGGGGAAGCGGAAUUCCGGGUGUAGUGGUGAAAUGCGGAGAUAACCGGAGGAACACCAGUGGCGAAAGCGGCUUCCUGGCCCAUUUCUGACGCUCAGACGCGGAAGCUAGGGUAGCAAACGG
rnacentral:rRNA from 1 species